rnacentral:rRNA from 1 species
UACGUAGGGUGCAAGCGUUAUCCGGAAUUAUUGGGCGUAAAGAGCUCGUAGGCGGUUUGUCACGUCUGCUGUGAAAACUGGAGGCUCAACCUCCAGCCUGCAGUGGGUACGGGGCAGACUAGAGUGCGGUAGGGGAGAUUGGAAUUCCUGGUGUAGCGGUGGAAUGCGCAGAUAUCAGGAGGAACACCGAUGGCGAAGGCAGAUCUCUGGGCCGUAACUGACGCUGAGGAGCGAAAGCAUGGGGAGCGAACAGG